AGACGAGUGGCGAACUGGUGAGUAACACGUGCCCUUCCUGCCCUUGAAGUAGGGGAUAACACUUGGAAACAGGUGCUAAUACCGUAUAACAACCAAAACCACCUGGUUUUGGUUUAAAAGACGGCUUCGGCUGUCACUUUAGGAUGGACCCGCGGCGUAUUAGCUUGUUGGUAAGGUAACGGCCUACCAAGGCGAUGAUACGUAGCCGACCUGAGAGGGUAAUCGGCCACAUUGGGACUGAGACACGGCCCAAACUCCUACGGGAGGCAGCAGUAGGGAAUCUUCCACAAUGGACGAAAGUCUGAUGGAGCAACGCCGCGUGAGUGAUGAAGGGUUUCGGCUCGUAAAACUCUGUUGUUGGAGAAGAACAGGUGUCAGAGUAACUGUUGACAUCUUGACGGUAUCCAACCAGAAAGCCACGGCUAACUACGUGCCAGCAGCCGCGGUAAUACGUAGGUGGCAAGCGUUGUCCGGAUUUAUUGGGCGUAAAGCGAGCGCAGGCGGUUUUUUAGGUCUGAUGUGAAAGCCUUCGGCUUAACCGGAGAAGUGCAUCGGAAACCGGGAGACUUGAGUGCAGAAGAGGACAGUGGAACUCCAUGUGUAGCGGUGAAAUGCGUAGAUAUAUGGAAGAGCACCAGUGGCGAAGGCGGCUGUCUGGUCUGUAACUGACGCUGAGGCUCGAAAGCAUGGGUAGCGAACAGGAUUAGAUACCCUGGUAGUCCAUGCCGUANACGAUGAGUGCUAAGUGUUGGAGGGUUUCCGCCCUUCAGUGCUGCAGCUAACGCAUUAAGCACUCCGCCUGGGGAGUACGACCGCA
rnacentral:rRNA from 1 species